GCUUAUUUUUUCUGUUCUGGUGGAGGUGAUAUAUAUAUUUAUACCAACACACACACACAAUGUCGAAUGUCCCCUUAUUAAGAUGUCUUGCACUUUGUACAGCAACAGCUGGAGCCCUGGUUGGUGCACUUUAUUAUUUUGAUCAGUGGGAUAAAGGAAGUACAGAGGUUAUCGAGCAGGGCUCAGUUCCGUAUAUUUCUGAGAAUGUAGACGAAAAUAAGGCCUACAAGAUUUUGGAACGUGCUGAACUUUCAGGGUCAUUGGCUGAUGUUCCAGAUAAAAAGAGUAAACAGUAUGAAAAAAAGUGAGAAUUGUGAGGAAGAGCAUAAGUAUGAGGACGUACUAAAGGAUAAGAAGAAGUUACAAAAG